rfam:Chryseobacterium piperi strain CTM contig09, whole genome shotgun sequence.
AAGGCGUAAUCCGAAAAGCCUGUAUCAAUAGAGUAGGAA